AGUAUUUGAAAUGUCACAAUUAGGAAUGCAAGCAGUUUUAAAUCCCAGUGAGAUGUUUUUAAGUGAGGAGUAUUCAGGCUCAUAUGUUUUAGCGGUGGUUGUUGCAGUUACUAUGGAUGGAUCUCAAAGUUUUCUUGUAGAGAUUCAGGUAGCUUUUCUAUAGUUUGAUGACAUUAUUUUUCCAUGUUGGAGAUUCUGAUUUACAUUUUGAAAUGACAAUGUCUAACUGGGAGCUUUUUUCAUUUUCAUUUAUAUUUUAUAUUCUCCCGCUUCCUUUGUAAUCAGACAGUGAUGAGGUUAUUACACCUGAAAAUUUUACCCUUUAUUUAUUUUCCCUGUUUAAAUAAAGUAAUACGACAAUAAUAAUUUCCACUUGUGAAAGUGAAUUUAUGUCUUGUCUGUUAAGAGUGCUGCUGGGGAACUUCUUAAAGAGAAAUAAGAUACUCGUUCUUGCUAGAAAAACAGAAGCAAGCACUCUCAAAGUGGUAACGGAAGUUAGCUGAUAACUUAGGCUCCAUUUGGUUGGGGAUAAUGGAAUGCAAUCAAGAGAGGCCAUCGUUCGACCACAACAGCCCGUGCAACUGGAGUCUUCCUCUCUUCUCCGGUGACUAGUUUCUUUCUUAUUACUAGGCACAAAAAAACCUUGAAAACAACACCUCAGGUGCACUACAUAUUCCCCAGGACUGGCUAGUGAUGGGUGGAAUUCUCAGCUGUAGUAGUGGACAAAAUGUGCCAUACAUUGGAAAGUCCAAGAAAUCCUCAAUGCCUUCUGGAUAGGUCAAAAAUUUGAAUGCUGGAGACUUGUUUUUGCUCCCAUAACUGAUUCUGCUUCAAAUCAUGGCCUAAUCCCAACAAUUCUCUAUGGGUGAGCAAUUUUGACAGAGAAUAAAAAGCUUCAGCAUUCAAAUUUUGAAAAAUCUUCAGAAGACAAGCAUGAUGUUGGUGCAAAUGGCAGUUUGGUAGCCCUUGUUGCAGAAAGGUGCACACAAGACGCAACUUGUCAUGCUCCCUGUCACCUGGCAAGUCUAGAAGUAGAAGAAGUUAAGCAAAUGGACUCACAACAAAGACAAGUGCACAAAAGAUGAUGAAUUGAAGAAUGGAGCAAGUUUCAUGCAUGGUUUACUUUUGUGUAUCUUGUAAUGUUUCUGUUUUUCAUUUUUGAAGUAAAAAAUGUUCAAGAUUAUAGAACUUUAUUAUGUUAUGCUUUCAAACUUAAGUUAGA